rnacentral:rRNA from 1 species
GACGAACGCUGGCGGCGUGCUUAACACAUGCAAGUCGAGCGAUGAAGUUCCUUCGGGAACGGAUUAGCGGCGGACGGGUGAGUAACACGUGGGUAACCUGUCUCAUAGAGGGGAAUAGCCUUUCGAAAGGAAGAUUAAUACCGCAUAAGAUUGUAGCUUCGCAUGGAGUAGCAAUUAAAGGAGUAAUCCGCUAUGAGAUGGACCCGCGUCGCAUUAGCUAGUUGGUGAGGUAACGGCUCACCAAGGCGACGAUGCGUAGCCGACCUGAGAGGGUGAUCGGACACAUUGGGACUGAGACACGGCCCAGACUCCUACGGGAGGCAGCAGUGGGGAAUAUUGCACAAUGGGGGAAACCCUGAUGCAGCAACGCCGCGUGAGUGAUGACGGUCUUCGGAUUGUAAAACUCUGUCUUCAGGGACGAUAAUGACGGUACCUGAGGAGGAAGCCACGGCUAACUACGUGCCAGCAGCCGCCGUAA